CCAAAUCCCACGUAGCGACCGUGUGUGGAACGGGACUUGUGUGUAUCGUGGAACGCACAAAAUGAUCAUUUUGUGGCGCCCCCAACAUCUCCGAUCCUCCGUACCUUUGGAAUUCUCGGUGGUCAUGGAGACUAGCUCACAGACCCAAACCACCGAUCUCGGUCCCGACCCCAUCCCCAACAAUCCAAACAACCGGAACCCUAUACCUAACCGGAGCUCAACAAUGUCGGGCUCUUCUCCUGUCUGGCCCACCAUUGACGGUCCGCUGGGCCUGUUGGAGGAAGACUCGGUCAGCUAUGUGAGGAGAUUCUAUAAGUUUGGAUUCGCGAUGCUGCCCUGGCUUUGGGCACUCAAUUGCUUUUCCUUCUGGCCCGUUCUCCUCCACACUCGCUCCUUUCCCCGCAUCCACCACUGAACUAUACUUUUGGUGAGCCAACCUUAGAUGAAGGAAAUGACUCGUAUGGUUUGAUCUAUUUGGUGAAAUGCGGUUUGCCCAUCGGGGAUUUGAUGUGUUUGGUGCUUGUUGGGGACCGACCUAUAGUUGAAGUGGAUCAAACUUUUGGUUUCAGUAAUGGCGUGAAGUUGAAAUUCUAUAAUUUGUUAGUUCAGGAAAAUACUUCCAAGGAGGGUGUAGAAUUAAGAUUUCACUCCUACAAUUAUUUAUUUAUUGGGGACCUCAAAGGUGCCAGCUGCAUUGUAACACUGAGUCCCGAAAGGUGAUGAUAAUCAUUACGUAUGUUCCUCUAAAUCUGCGUCUCCCCACCCCCACAAAAAAAAAAAAAAAAUGAAAACUAAAUAGUAAUCCCCUCUAGUGCAUCAAUAUGAUUUUGAAACUAUAUAUCAACAGUAAGAGUCUUUGACAGUAAUACCUUGUCUCAGCCAUACCUAUCUUCUUGUGUUUUGGACUAGUGAUGAAUUGCUUUUAUCCAUUAAGGUGGUUAAGUUAUUGCACUUUGGCAAAAAAGAGAUUUUCUAUCAUUAUUUGAUGAAUAGAAAGAUUCCAUUUACUGUCAAUGCUCAUUCACAUUCAUUUAGUUGGGUUUAGAUUAGAUGUCAUGUUGUUAAACCUUUCACCACAGCACAAGUGACCAUCCUCUUACAUAGAAAUUGUAAUUGAGCUCAUUUUGGCAAAGAUAGGACUGAUCAUUCUAUGUGUAGGGUUUUGCAUCAAACAUUAAAGGAAAUGGAAUUCCCCACAACUCAUUACUUAGCUCUGGCUUGUUUUAUUCUACAUUAGAGCAUCUUGUCCUUUAUCCUAUUGCAAGCAUAAGCUAAUCCAUAGGAAAGCCGAAUUCAGAAAAGCCUUUUUUUUGCGAGCAUGUGUUUUCACUCGAAUUUUAAAUGCUGUGCAUGGUUAAAUGUUGUGCCCAUUAUCUUCGUGGUUUAACUGUUUUAAGUAUCCAUUGCUUGAGGCGACUAGCCUUGGAGUAUGUGUUUCUCAGAUGGUUGAUUCAGAGUGUUUUUCUGUCCCCCUUCUAUUGGAUCAUUUCUUAAGCAUGCGCAUCUACUGAACUUCAAUAUAGUUUAUGCAUUCUUUUUUCCUGUGGGACACGUAUGUCCAUUACCCGCAUCCAUCUAACUGAAAUAUACCUUUCGGCUUUCACAACACAUUCCAAGCAACUCAAUUAUACAAAAACUGCCAAGGUCCUUUAGACCAGAUGACUUAAGGCCUGGUCUCCAAAUGAGAGAAUCAGAUGUUGUCAGAUCAAAAAUUGGGUUUGCUGUAUUCACAGCUAUUCUUUCGUCAUGGGCCCUUACUUUUGCAAUUGGAGGGGAGCGUCUCUUCCGACCUGUUUGGGAUCAACUUGUAAUGUACAUUCUCGCUGAGAGAUUAGGCUUGACUGGUUGGAGCUAGUCCUAUGCCCUCUUCUCGUGAAUUUCAUCGGUUACACACUUUGCAUUAGCCUUUUUUUCACCUUUUUGUUGGGUAUUACAAUAUACAGGUGUUCCUGAUCUGCUCUAUUUUGAACACAUGAUUCAUGUAGAUAUGUUCUGAUUGAGGCUUUCUAGAACCUUUUUGUUAUGUAAGUUGAUAUUGAAGCCUUGCUUUACCGCAAGUAAUGGCCUUAUAACUGCACUAUCGUAUU